GAUGAAGAACGCAGCGGAAUGCGAUACUUGGUGUGAAUUGCAGAAUCCCGUGAACCAUCGAGUCUUUGAACGCAAGUUGCGCCCGAAGCCACUAGGCCGAGGGCACGCCUGCCUGGGCGUCACACGCCGUUGCCCCCCCAUCUACUCCUUCGGGAUUGCGGGGGGGCGGAUGAUGGCCUCCUGUGCGCCUAGCCGCGCGGUUGGCAUAAAUACCAAGUCCUCGGCGACGCACGCCACGACAAUCGGUGGUUGCGAAACCUCGGUUGCCCGUCGUGUGCGUUCGUCGCGCAUCGAGGGCUCGAAAAAAUGCUCGGCUCCGGCUGGGCUUUCAACGCGACCCCAGGUCAGGCGGGGUUACCCGCUGAAUUUAAGCAUAUCAAUAAGCGGAGGA
rnacentral:misc_RNA from 1 species